AGUGAACGCUGGCGGUAGGCCUAACACAUGCAAGUCGAACGGCAGCACAGUAAGAGCUUGCUCUUACGGGUGGCGAGUGGCGGACGGGUGAGGAAUACAUCGGAAUCUACUUUUUCGUGGGGGAUAACGUAGGGAAACUUACGCUAAUACCGCAUACGACCUACGGGUGAAAGCAGGGGAUCUUCGGACCUUGCGCGAUUGAAUGAGCCGAUGUCGGAUUAGCUAGUUGGCGGGGUAAAGGCCCACCAGGGCGACGAUCCGUAGCUGGUCUGAGAGGAUGAUCAGCCACACUGGAACUGAGACACGGCCCAGACUCCUACGGGAGGCAGCAGUGGGGAAUAUUGGACAAUGGGCGCAAGCCUGAUCCAGCCAUACCGCGUGGGUGAAGAAGGCCUUCGGGUUGUAAAGCCCUUUUGUUGGGAAAGAAGAGCAGCAGGUUAAUACCCCGCUGUUCUGACGGUACCCAAAGAAUAAGCACCGGCUAACUUCGUG
rnacentral:rRNA from 1 species